AGCGGCAACAGCUCAAAUUUGAAAUCUGGCUCUCGGGCCCGAGUUGUAAUUUGUAGAGGAUACUUUUGAUGCGGUGCCUUCCGAGUUCCCUGGAACGGGACGCCAUAGAGGGUGAGAGCCCCGUCUGGUUGGAUGCCAAAUCUCUGUAAAGUUCCUUCAACGAGUCGAGUAGUUUGGGAAUGCUGCUCUAAAUGGGAGGUAUAUGUCUUCUAAAGCUAAAUACCGGCCAGAGACCGAUAGCGCACAAGUAGAGUGAUCGAAAGAUGAAAAGCACUUUGAAAAGAGAGUUAAAAAGUACGUGAAAUUGUUGAAAGGGAAGCGUUUAUGACCAGACUUGGGCUUGGUUAAUCAUCUGGGGUUCUCCCCAGUGCACUUUUCCAGUCCAGGCCAGCAUCAGUUUUCCCCGGGGGAUAAAGGCGGCGGGAAUGUGGCUCUCUUCGGGGAGUGUUAUAGCCCACCGUGUAAUACCCUGGGGGGGACUGAGGUUCGCGCAUCUGCAAGGAUGCUGGCGUAAUGGUCAUCAACGACCCGUCUUGAAACACGGACCAAGGAGUCGUCUUCGUAUGCGAGUGUUCGGGUGUCAAACCCCUACGCGUAAUGAAAGUGAACGCAGGUGAGAGCUUCGGCGCAUCAUCGACCGAUCCUGAUGUUCUCGGAUGGAUUUGAGUAAGAGCAUACGGGGCCGGACCCGAAAGAAGGUGAACUAUGCCUGUAUAGGGUGAAGCCAGAGGAAACUCUGGUGGAGGCUCGCAGCGGUUCUGACGUGCAAAUCGAUCGUCAAAUAUGGGCAUGGGGGCGAAAGACUAAUCGA
rnacentral:rRNA from 1 species